rnacentral:rRNA from 1 species
UACGAAGGUGGCAAGCGUUUUUCGGAUUUACUGGGCGUACAGGGAGCGUAGGCGGUUGGGUAAGCCCUCCGUGAAAUCUCCGGGCCCAACCCGGAAAGUGCGGAGGGGACUGCUCGGCUAGAGGAUGGGAGAGGAGCGCGGAAUUCCCGGUGUAGCGGUGAAAUGCGUAGAGAUCGGGAGGAAGGCCGGUGGCGAAGGCGGCGCUCUGGAACAUUUCUGACGCUGAGGCUCGAAAGCGUGGGGAGCAAACAGG